CUACGGGGGGCUCCAGUGGGGAAUAUUGGGCAAUGGGGGAAACCCUGAUCCAGCAAUGCCGCGUGUGUGAAGAAGGCCUGCGGGUUGUAAAGCACUUUCGGUUGGGAGGACUGCUUCUAGCACUAAUAUUGUUGGAAGUUGACGUUACCUUCAGAAGAAGCACCGGCUAACUCCGUGCCAGCAGCCGCGGUAAUACGGGGGGUGCAAGCGUUAAUCGGAAUUACUGGGCGUAAAGCGCGCGUAGGCGGCUAGAUCAGUCGGGCGUGAAAGCCCCGGGCUUAACCUGGGAACUGCAUCCGAUACUGUCUAGCUUGAGUACAGGAGAGGAGAGCGGAAUUCCACAUGUAGCGGUGAAAUGCGUAGAUAUGUGGAGGAACACCAAUGGCGAAGGCAGCUCUCUGGCCUGAUACUGACGCUGAGGUGCGAAAGCGUGGGGAGCAAACAGGAUUAGAUACCCCAGUAGUC
rnacentral:rRNA from 1 species